CCUGGUAAUUAUAUGCCGGGGGUUCCACCCGUUCCCAUCCCGAACACGGCCGUUAAGCCCCGAGCAGCCAAUGGUAGUGAGGCGUUAGGCCCUGCGAGAGUAGGUUGUUGCCAGGU
rnacentral:rRNA from 2 species